GUCCGAGUCUGAGAGAAGACAAUUUGGGCGAGUGUUACAAAACCAAGCCUGACUUCAUGAAGGCUUGGGAGAAGUGGAGAACACAAAUAAGUAAACUGGACUGCAGUUCCUACUGGCUUCAAUGUGAUCACCGGCAGACCAGAGAAGGGCUGAAAAAUUUGAUCCAGAUCAUGUUGGGAAAUCCGACUGUUCUAUCAAAUGCAACUUUCAACUGGAUGGAGC
rnacentral:misc_RNA from 1 species